rnacentral:rRNA from 1 species
UACUGUAGUUAGUUACUGUACUGCACUCCCACUGAAGCUAAGCAGGGCUGAGCCUGGUCAGUACCUGGAUGGGAGACCUCCUGGGAAAACUAGGUUGCUGCUGGAA